GGGUUGUGAGGUUAAGCGACUAAGCGUACACGGUGGAUGCCCUGGCAGUCAGAGGCGAUGAAGGACGUGCUAAUCUGCGAUAAGCGUCGGUAAGGUGAUAUGAACCGUUAUAACCGGCGAUUUCCGAAUGGGGAAACCCAGUGUGAUUCGUCACACUAUCAUUAACUGAAUCCAUAGGUUAAUGAGGCGAACCGGGGGAACUGAAACAUCUAAGUACCCCGAGGAAAAGAAAUCAACCGAGAUUCCCCCAGUAGCGGCGAGCGAACGGGGAGCAGCCCAGAGCCUGAAUCAGUGUGUGUGUUAGUGGAAGCGUCUGGAAAGGCGCGCGAUACAGGGUGACAGCCCCGUACACAAAAAUGCACAUGCUGUGAGCUCGAUGAGUAGGGCGGGACACGUGGUAUCCUGUCUGAAUAUGGGGGGACCAUCCUCCAAGGCUAAAUACUCCUGACUGACCGAUAGUGAACCAGUACCGUGAGGGAAAGGCGAAAAGAACCCCGGCGAGGGGAGUGAAAAAGAACCUGAAACCGUGUACGUACAAGCAGUGGGAGCACAGAGCAAUCUGUGUGACUGCGUACCUUUUGUAUAAUGGGUCAGCGACUUAUAUUCUGUAGCAAGGUUAACCGAAUAGGGGAGCCGAAGGGAAACCGAGUCUUAACUGGGCGUUAAGUUGCAGGGUAUAGACCCGAAACCCGGUGAUCUAGCCAUGGGCAGGUUGAAGGUUGGGUAACACUAACUGGAGGACCGAACCGACUAAUGUUGAAAAAUUAGCGGAUGACUUGUGGCUGGGGGUGAAAGGCCAAUCAAACCGGGAGAUAGCUGGUUCUCCCCGAAAGCUAUUUAGGUAGCGCCUCGUGAAUUCAUCUCCGGGGGUAGAGCACUGUUUCGGCAAGGGGGUCAUCCCGACUUACCAACCCGAUGCAAACU
rnacentral:rRNA from 2 species